rnacentral:rRNA from 1 species
UGGGGAAUAUUGCACAAUGGAGGGAACUCUGAUGCAGCGACGCCGCGUGAACGAAGAAGGCUUUCGAGUCGUAAAGUUCUUUUAUAUGGGAAGAUAAUGACGGUACCAUAAGAAAAAGCCCCGGCUAACUACGUGCCAGCAGCCGCGGUAAUACGUAGGGGGCUAGCGUUGUCCGGAAUCACUGGGCGUAAAGGGUUCGCAGGCGGAAAUGCAAGUCAGGUGUAAAAGGCAGUAGCUUAACUACUGUAAGCAUUUGAAACUGCAUAUCUUGAGAAGAGUAGAGGUAAAGGGAAUUUUUAGGUUAGCCGUUAAAAGCGUUGAUAUUAAAAAGAAUACCCGUGGCGAAGGCCACUUACUGGGCUCAUUCUGACGCUGAGGAACGAAAGCGUGGGUAGCAAACAAG